rnacentral:rRNA from 1 species
UACGGAGGGGGCUAGCGUUGUUCGGAAUUACUGGGCGUAAAGCGCACGUAGGCGGCUUUGUAAGUUAGAGGUGAAAGCCCGGGGCUCAACUCCGGAAUUGCCUUUAAGACUGCAUCGCUUGAAUCCGGGAGAGGUGAGUGGAAUUCCGAGUGUAGAGGUGAAAUUCGUAGAUAUUCGGAAGAACACCAGUGGCGAAGGCGGCUCACUGGACCGGGUAUUGACGCUGAGGUGCGAAAGCGUGGGGAGCAAACAGG